GAAACCGCGUAUGGCUCAUUAUAACAGCUAAAAUUUACUUGAUUUUGACAAAUCCUACAUGGAUAACUGUGGUAAUUCUGGAGCUAAUACAUGCAUAAAAGGUUUCUUUUUUUAAAAGAAAUUGCGUAUAUUAGUGUUAAAACCAAGCAUUCUCUGAAUGUUUUGUGUUGAACCUGAAUAUAUCUGCUGAUCGAAUGGUCUUGUACCGUCGACAUGUCAUACAAGUGUCUGAUCUAUCAACUUUCUAUAUAAGUAUAUAGUACUUAUAUGGUUUUGACGGAUAACGGGGUAUUAGGGUACGACUCCGGAGAAAACGCCUGAGAAACGGCGUUUACAUCCAAGGAAGGCAGCAGGCGCGAAAAUUACCCACUCUCAGUUCGAGGAGGUAGUGACGAGAAAUGACAAGAUCUAUUCCUUCGGGGAUGGAUCAUUGGAAUGGUUUGAUUUUAAAAUCAUUAAAGAGUAUCAAUGAGAGGGCAAGUCUGGUGCCAGCAGCCGCGGUAAUUCCAGCUCUCAUACUGCAUUGAAUUGUUGUUGCGGUUAAAAAGCUCGUAGUUGGAUCUGUACAUGAUAGGUUUGUUCAUCCUUUGGAUUGUAACAAAUACUAAAUGUUUUUUAUUAGAUUUUAUUUUUUCAUUUAUGGAAAAAUAUGUCUAAUGAGUUUACUUUGAAUAAAUCAGAGUGCUCAAAACAGGCGUAAGCUUGUAUGGUUUUGCAUGGAAUAAUAGAACAUGACUAUGGUUCAUGUUUUCAUUGGUUUUACCUACCAUAGUAAUGAUUAAAAGGAACAAACGGGGGCAUCCGUAUCGCAAGGCGAGAGGUGAAAUUCGUGGACCCUUGCGAGACGAACUACAGCGAAGGCAUUUGCCAAGAAUGUUUUCAUUAAUCAAGAACGAAAGUCAGAGGUUCGAC
rnacentral:rRNA from 1 species